rnacentral:rRNA from 1 species
UACGUAGGGUGCGAGCGUUGUCCGGAAUUAUUGGGCGUAAAGAGCUCGUAGGCGGUUUGUCACGUCUGCUGUGAAAUCCCGAGGCUCAACCUCGGGCCUGCAGUGGGUACGGGCAGACUGGAGUGCGGUAGGGGAGAAUGGAAUUCCUGGUGUAGCGGUGGAAUGCGCAGAUAUCAGGAGGAACACCGAUGGCGAAGGCAGUCCUCUGGGCCAACACUGACGCUCAUGCACGAAAGCGUGGGGAGCAAACAGG